rnacentral:lncRNA from 1 species
UUUUCUUUUUGUAAGGCAGCGUAUAGAACCUUCCAAGGCCCUGCAGGCCAAUGUAGAAUUGGGUGGGACCGUAGCCAGCCUGGUGUAAAUCUGCUCCCACAGCCCCCACCACACGGAGGGGGUGGUGAGCCCACAGCCUCUGCCACCCGGAGGGCCUGCCUCACCUCUGGCUGCAGGACUCCCUGUCCUGGGCUUGAGCGGGAGCUUUGCACUCAUUCUUGAUAAAGUUCCUCCAGGCAUAUCCUAUUCACACCCGUGACGUCAACAUUUUCUGCUGUCCCACUCGGGGCCAGCUCCAUCUUUGUACUAGGAGAGAUAGGGUGGUUAAGCCAGGGUCCCUGUUAUAAUUUCAUCUUGUGAGGGAGGCAGGGGGUUGCUACCUAGUGGAGGACAGAAGCCCAGAAGAAGGUGGGAACAAUGCUCUGGAAUGAAUCUUGUGGUCUGGUGGAUCCCAGCCCCCACCUCCUCAUGCUGUGCAGUUUGUCGAGCCUGCCCACCGCUGCUUCACCCCCACCCCCAGCAAGCUGACUGAGCAGAGCAGAAGCCACGGAGGGCAGGCUGGCGGAGACUCUCGCCUGCUGACCGACAGCCAGCAGCAAAUGGACUAGAACCAGCCAUUGAGGUCUACUCCACAGGAUCUCUCGGCUUCUCCCACGGCCACAUUCAUGUCCUUGGAUGGGGAGAGGAGCACAUAGCAGGUGUGGCACUCAUGCCAACCCCAGGAGACCUCCCUCCCAGCACUAAUGAUGACAGCCACAGGUGAG